rnacentral:rRNA from 1 species
AACGAACGCUGGCGGCAGGCUUAACACAUGCAAGUCGAGCGCCCCGCAAGGGGAGCGGCAGACGGGUGAGUAACGCGUGGGAAUCUACCCAUCUCUACGGAAUAACGCAUGGAAACGUGUGCUAAUACCGUAUACGUCCUUCGGGAGAAAGAUUUAUCGGAGAUGGAUGAGCCCGCGUUGGAUUAGCUAGUUGGUGGGGUAAAGGCCUACCAAGGCGACGAUCCAUAGCUGGUCUGAGAGGAUGAGCAGCCACACUAGGACUGAGACACGGCCCAGACCCCUACGGGAGGCAGCAGUGGGGAAUAUUGGACAAUGGGCGCAAGCCUGAUCCCGCCAUGCCGCGUGAGUGAUGAAGGCCCUAGGGUUGUAAAGCUCUUUCACCGGUGAAGAUAAUUACGGUAACCGGAGAAGAAUCCCCGGCUAACUUCGUGCCAGCCGCCGCAGUAAGAC